rnacentral:rRNA from 1 species
AUGGCAUCACCGCGGGUGUGCGUGACCGGCGGCGGCGGGUACAUCGCCUCGUGGCUCGUCAAGCUGCUCCUCUCCCGGGGCUACGCCGUCCACGCCACCGUCCGCGACCCAUGUGACCAGAAGAACGCGCAUCUGAUGCAGCUGGAGGGGGCGGCGGAGAGCCUGAGCUUGUUCAAGGCCGACGUGCUCGACCGCGCCGCGCUCGCCGCCGCCGUUGAGGGUUGCCAGGGCGUCUUCCAUGUCGCCUCCCCUGUGCCCGCAAACAAGAUCGUCGACCCUGAGUCAGAAAUCAUGGUGCCUGCCGUGAAGGGCACCCUAAAUAUUCUUGAAGUUUGUUCAUCUCUGAAGGUUCAGAAGGUUGUGGUGGUGUCAUCCACCGCUGCUGUUCAUUCUAACCCCAACUGGCCUCAGGGUAAACCCAAAGACGAGAGUUGCUGGUCCGACAGAAAAAUAUGCAUGGAGAAGGAGGAGGUCCUAAUGCGUUGA